GCCUCUGUCGUUCAGUGGUUGAGCAUUGGACUCCCGAUCCGGAGGUCCUGGGUUCGAUUCCCGGCGGGGACA